rnacentral:rRNA from 1 species
UACAGAGGGGGCGAGCGUUGUUCGGAAUUACUGGGCGUAAAGGGCGCGUAGGCGGCCUUCUAAGUCGAACGUGAAAUCCCCGGGCUCAACCCGGGAACUGCGUCCGAUACUGGGAGGCUUGAAUCCGGAGAGGGAUGUGGAAUUCCAGGUGUAGCGGUGAAAUGACGUAGAUAGUCAGGAGGAACACCGAUGGCGAAGGCAGGUCGUCUGGCGUGAAACUGACGCUCAUGCACGAAAGCGUGGGAGCAAACAGGAUUAG